rnacentral:rRNA from 1 species
CGUUAGCGGCGGACGGGUGAGUAACACGUAGGUAACCUACCCAUAAGACUGGGAUAACUUCGGGAAACCGGAGCUAAUACCGGAUAAUAUUUCGAACCGCAUGGUUCGAUAGUGAAAGAUGGCUUUGCUAUCACUUAUAGAUGGACCUGCGCCGUAUUAGCUAGUUGGUAAGGUAACGGCUUACCAAGGCAACGAUACGUAGCCGACCUGAGAGGGUGAUCGGCCACACUGGAACUGAGACACGGUCCAG